rnacentral:rRNA from 1 species
UACGGAGGGUGCGAGCGUUAUCCGGAAUUACUGGGCGUAAAGGGCUCGUAGGCGGCCAACUAAGUCAGACGUGAAAUCCCCAGGCUCAACCUGGGAACUGCGUCUGAUACUGGAUGGCUUGAAUCCGGGAGAGGGAUGCAGAAUUCCAGGUGUAGCGGUGAAAUGCGUAGAUAUCUGGAGGAAUACCGGUGGCGAAGGCGGCAUCCUGGACCGGCAUUGACGCUGAGGAGCGAAAGCUAGGGGAGCAAACGGG